GAGUUUGAUCCUGGCUCAGAACGAACGCUGCGGCAUGCCUAACACAUGCAAGUCGAACGAAGCCUUUGGGCUUAGUGGCGCACGGGUGCGUAACGCGUGGGAAUCUGCCCUCUGGUUCGGAAUAACUCAGGGAAACUUGAGCUAAUACCGGAUAAUGACUUCGGUCCAAAGAUUUAUCGCCUGAGGAUGAGCCCGCGUCGGAUUAGCUAGUUGGUGAGGUAAAAGCUCACCCAAGGCGACGAUCUCGUAGCUGGUCUGAGAGGAUGAUCAGCCCACACUGGGACUGAGACACGGCCCAGACUCCUACGGGAGGCAGCAGUGGGGAAUAUUGGACAAUGGGCGAAAGCCUGAUCCAGCAAUGCCGCGUGAGUGAUGAAGGCCUUAGGGUUGUAAAGCUCUUUUACCCGGGAUGAUAAUGACCAGUGACCGGGAGA
rnacentral:rRNA from 1 species